rnacentral:rRNA from 1 species
UACGAGGGGGGCAAGCGUUGUUCGGAAUUAUUGGGCGUAAAGGGUGCGUAGGCGGUUUGACAAGUCUAAUGUGAAAUCCCCGGGCUCAACCUGGGAACUGCAUUUGUGACUGCAUGGCUAGAGUACGGUAGAGGGGGAUGGAAUUCCGCGUGUAGCAGUGAAAUGCGUAGAUAUGCGGAGGAACACCGAUGGCGAAGGCAAUCCCCUGGACCUGUACUGACGCUCAUGCACGAAAGCGUGGGGAGCAAACAGG